rnacentral:piRNA from 1 species
UCACAGAAUUUAAGGAUGCCAAACCAU